rnacentral:rRNA from 1 species
GAUGAACGCUGGCGGCGUGCCUAAUACAUGCGAGUCGAGCGAACAGACGAGGAGCUUGCUCCUCUGACGUUAGCGGCGGACGGGUGAGUAACACGUGGAUAACCUACCUAUAAGACUGGGAUAACUUCGGGAAACCGGAGCUAAUACCGGAUAAUAUAUUGAACCGCAUGGUUCAAUAGUGAAAGACGGUUUUGCUGUCACUUAUAGAUGGAUCCGCGCCGCAUUAGCUAGUUGGUAAGGUAACGGCUUACCAAGGCAACGAUGCGUAGCCGACCUGAGAGGGUGACAGGCCACACGGGAACUGGGACACGGUCCAGACUCCUACGGGAGGCAGCAGCAGGGAAUCUGCCGUCAUGGGUGCAAGCCUGACGCAGCAAUGCGGAGUGCGGGAUGAAGGUCUUCGGAUCGUAAAACUCUGUUAUUAGGGAAGAACAAAUGUGUAAGUACCUAUGCACGUCCUGACGGUACCUAAUCAGAAAGCCACGGAUAACUUCGUG